GAUGAACGCUAGCGGGAGGCCUAAUACAUGCAAGUCGAACGGUAACAGGUAGCAAUACGCUGACGAGUGGCGCACGGGUGCGUAACGCGUACACAAUCUGCCUUAUACUGGGGCAUAGCCUUUGGAAACGAAGAAUAAUUCCCCAUAACAUAUAGAAGAGGCAUCUCUUUUAUAUUAAAGCUCAGGCGGUAUAAGAUGAGUGUGCGUCCGAUUAGGUAGUUGGUGAGGUAACGGCUCACCAAGCCAACGAUCGGUAGCUGGUCUGAGAGGAUGACU
rnacentral:rRNA from 1 species